rnacentral:ncRNA from 1 species
AACGUCCUUAUCUGAGGGUAGCACAACAUGUCAAUGAUCGUGAGUGAGAUAUGUUCUGCUGACACCAUUACUACAACACAAUGAUUCGUUUGGCACUUUGUGUUAAACGUCUCAAUUUUUGGGGGU